ACUUAAGUAACAAUGCACAUUAAUUAUAUAAGAAAUGUGUGAUUUUUGCUCUUAUUUGUUGGUUAAGUUAUGGUCUAAGCAAGUAUCAGGUAGUUUUCACUCAUGGAUCUGUUACGUUUCGUGGAAUCGCAUGGGACAGAUGAGUAUAAUUAAAUGAUCCGGAAAGGCGUCCACGUCCAUUGUCAAUUCUAAUGCGAUAAGCGAGAGUCUCGUGUUGCAAAUAUAUGAAUAUAUGAAGGGAAAAAUCGUCGAUGACAGGAGGACAAAGAAAGAAAAGAAGAAAUCCAUUGUGGUUAGGUCGUGUCCUUUUCAGAAAAAAAAAAAUUCCAUCGCCGGAAAUUUGACACAAGGGAAAGGUUCGGUUCAUUAUGCAAUUAGAUUAAUCAACGUUUAUCUAAUUACGCGCAUUUUGUGUUCGUAGUAUUAAGUGAAUGAUGAUGAUGGAACAUCCUCUGCAACGCAUCCUCUCGAAAAUAAAAUCUAGAGUGUGUAGUAGAGAUUGAGAGAAAUUCGGGUUGGUAAUCCGUGUCUUAUCUGACCGGUCCCAUCAGGAAUACAAGGAAUAAUCAUAAUAGCGAGACGUGUCCUCCUAUUUUGGGAACACUUUAGUGAACAUGGCACGAUUCUCCUUCGCUCCGUGUUGUGUAUCCUUUUACCACCGAGCAUUACUCGAUUACGAUCUAGUGUGUUUCUCUUUCUUUUAUUUUUUUUUGUUGUUGUCCUCCGCAGUGAAUACAAUAUAAUCCGCGACACCGAAUAUCCUCCAUCCCUCUCUUUAUCUUCGUCCACUUACUUACUGGGUCUCGCCCCAAUUCCACCUCUUGUUGUUUCGUGUUGAUCCUUCUGCUGACAAGAGAUACGGUUUGCCUUUUGAAUUUAAUUGAGCGCACACAAUCUUGAUCCUCGAUAGAAGGAUGGAUGGAUGGACCCGCGUCGACCUGUCAAAUCCGAUCCAGAGGAUAAUCUCCUUCGUCACAAAAAUCUCACUCGAUAUUAUUCAUCUCAUUUACCUCCAUUACGCAUUUUCCAACUAUAUCUGAUCGUUGUUCAUCUCAUUCCAACAUUAAUACCAUUAUAAUUUCAUUUAAAAACUUAUACAAAAGAUUUCCAAUCUUUACGUAAUUCAUAAAAAAAACUUACAUAAAUAACCCAAACGACU